rnacentral:lncRNA from 1 species
CUUAAACAUCAAUCUUUCAGUUAAGAUACUGACCAGAAUAAAGAUUUCUUACAUUUUAAAUGUGACGAGAUCUGAGAUUAAACUGAUUUCUGAAGGGAGAGGACUAAGUAGCUGUUGUUUUACUAUCAGUGACUUCAGGCAUCUGACUCUGAUCUCUCCCUGUGUCUGGGAUUAUUACAGUUAUUUUCUGUGUUGACCGAGGAGGGGAAAAAAGAAAAAAAAAAAAAAUGGAAAAAAGGAACAGAGAUCAUCUACACAUGGAUGUUUUUGUCUUUCUUUAAAAGGUCAAAAUGAAAUGUAAAGUUGGAGCUUCAGUGGGAUUCAGAGACCAACAAGGAAGUGUCCUGGGAUCUCUAUAUCCAGAUAAGAACAGGUACAGAGGAGCCCUGGCAUUUCUAAGUUGGGAUUAAAUUGCAGGUAUAAAGCAAUUAAAAAGAAGCAGGACCAUACAUGCCAAGAUAGGCAAGACAAAGUCAAUAUCUGGAGCCUUUGUCAGGUAAUUGGAGCAUAUUUCCUCUUCGGGAAAGUACAACCCUCAGCCAUACAUAUAUCAUCAGAAAUUUUUUCAUACAAUUUAUCAUUUCAUAUUCUGAUGC